UUUUCCUUAGGAUUUAAAUGCACAUUGUUAGUGAGGUAAAUAAUGUUAAUAUUGUGCUUUACACAGGGAGACAGAUCACAAAGUACUUAAUGUAACAGGUUUAAUAAGCAUGAUGUGAGUUUGUGUGUGGAAGAGAAAAGUCAUCAAUAUUUUCUAAAACAGUAUUUUAUUUUAAAAGACGAUUGGCCUCUAAGUUUGCAGCGUACAUGCCACAAACACACCAGUCAUGAAAGGACUCACUAUCUAAGAGUGUUUCUCUGUGUCAGUCGGUUUGUUCCCCUGCAGGUGUCUCUCACCUUGUCCUCAUGAGUUUGUGUGUGCAGUGUAUCUGUCAUGCUGUUGUUCAGUUUGUAGCCAGUCAGAUGCUGUUUCUAGCAUGUCCCCCUUCUGCUCACUGCAGUGGUAAGGUAGACGAGUUUGGCCUGUCUGAAGUGAGUUAUGUAACUGUGUGUGUGAGUUACAUCAGCCUUACUGCUGCUUUCCAUGAGGGCUGGGUUUUCUGCUGGUAGCGCACUGUGCCUGGUUAUCAAGUGAACCAAGAAUUGACCUUGUAAUCCUAAUCCACUGAAAUCUACUAAUAGGACAAAAUAUGAAUCGAGUUCACCCAGUGCAGGAAGGCUGUUUAUCCCACCCAAGAGGUAGUGUAAGGAAACAUUGUUGUGUGCUGAAGUGAUGUCAUAUCCUGUGAGCUUGUGAGAUGAUGCAAUAGUGAUGUUUCAUGUGUAAAGAGAAGAAACUGUAUGUGACGUAUAAAAGUAUGAACUUUCAGCCUUAAACACUGAGUUUGCAAGAUUUACCCUUUUAUAGCAGCAUCUGGGAUUGAUUUGUCAGGUCUUUCUCCUGACUAUGAAACAGGAAGUCGAGCCUUGGCUGGAAAUGUUUUUUCUUUCCCCCGAUUCUGCUAAAAGAGCAGCAGAAUCAAUCCUCUACCAGAAUACAUCUAGUCGUAUUGUUUGUAAUUAUAACUCAACAAGUUAAAUCAGACAUCCGCUGCGUUUCCCUCGCCUGCCCUUUCCUGGUUAGCAGCUGAGAGUUCAUCUGGCAACAUUUAGCCAGUUCCUCCGUCAGCAACCGCACCCUUAAAAAAAAACAUGACAUGUUUAAAAAAUGGUAUCAAGUGAAAUAUCCAAGCUUAUCUUUGACAGUACGCUGUCAUCAGUUUGAAAGUAUCUCAAACAAAAUAAAGAAUUUAAAAGCCCUCCUACACAAAUCCUUUUUUUUCUCCAAGAUUUAUUUUGGCUGUUAGUGCCUUUAUUUUAACGAUCAGAGAGUGGAUAGAGUCAGAAAUCAGGGAGGGGGGGGGGGGGGGGGGGACUACCGGAGCCCCCUCCUACUCAUUCCUACUCUCAAGUAUAACAAAGCUUUCUUUCCACCUGCCAUUUUGGUCAUACAAUGCACAGUUCUCUGUGUUUAUUGAAUUCUUUAUUUUGAUUUGAUGAUCGUGAGAAUGUCAAUAAAUUGACUGAAAGUUGAUGCAAUAUCUGAUCUGCUGAAAUUUAACUGAAUGAGUGCAGAGAAGAGCAACAAUACACAGAGAAUCAAUAACAUAUUUUCACAGUGUGUGGGUCUCUUUUAGCCAGAACAUCAAAUCAGAGAGAUUUCAGGUGUUAGGAAAGACAUUAGUUAGGGUUAUCCU